AAUUAUAUGCAACCAGUUGAUGCUAUUUAAUUUGUGUCAUAUUACACAAAUUAAAUGUAAUAUUGUGUUGGUUGAUGAUAUAAUUUUCAAUCUAGCAACACUUCUCAUUUUUCGUUCGCGCACUUUGAGGAACCGAAAUGUGCCAUUUUGUUUCUGACUGCGAUUUUUGUUUGGUAGCAGAUCAGAAUCUAAUAUGUAUUGAUAUUAAAGUCACUGUAGCGUCUUUAAUUGAAAACCAAGUUGAAAACACUAAGUAGUACGUUUUUAAGUUCUUCGUGGUAAUUUCUGAAAAAUGGAUCGACAUCGUAUUUGCGUCGGAUCCGGUUUUACAUGAAUUAUUCCACCCGAGAAAGAGGAAUCAAGUGAACAAUCCGUCAAUGAGGUGAAGCGAGUGGCCACAUAAACACUACCAUCGGAACCAGAUUCCAAUGUGCCAGAGAUACAAAAAAAAGUGUAUUAUCUAUCGGUAAUUGUCCCCACCAGAAGGCCAAGAAACGACCCGUUGAAAACGGCAUGAUUGGGAUGAACGACGAUAGCAAGUCAGACAUGGGAGAAGAAACAUUCCCGUUCAGGCGACUAAAAAUUUUGAGACUACGCAUAAGCCCCCGGGCAAGGAUUCAGGAUUGGACGAUGGUAAACCGGACAUGGAUGGCCCAAAAACCCACUAACCUAGAAAGAAGUCGAUGAAAUUGUAGAUGACGAUGGAACACAAGAAACCGACGGCAGUAAACUGACGAUAGAUAGCGGAUACAUCCUAGGCGGCAGUAACGGUCAUUGAGUUGACAAUCCCGCGACAGGCUUGUUGGUACGUGACUACAUUUCGUUUUCUUGGAGCUCCGUUCUAUUACGAAACUAAUCAAGCAAUGGCAUUCGAUAAUAUCAACUUCAAGGAACACCAGCUCAUCCCUGGUAUGACCCACUCCGCUCUGCCAGCCUUACCACCAUACUUCUGGAUGUUUCGCUAUUCAGGUGCUGUGUUGCUCGAACCGCUUCUCGUCGCAGAACAGAACCAAUCAGGCUUUAUAAGGUCGAGGCAAGAAGGACAACAUCUUUCCGUUAUCAGCAUGGCACUGAACUAGCGGUUAUCUUUUUACCGCUUUGCCAGAGUAACUUAAGAGCACUGGCAUCUGAAGUUUGAAAGACUGUGAUGUGAUGUGUGCUGUGAUCUGCGUGUUUCAAGUGAGAAGUUGCCCACCUGUCGCAAUGCCAUUUCACCGGAUCGGCUUUCGUGUUUACGAUUACUCGCGAACCCACGACCAUCCCAGUUAAUUGCUACGGAUAGACCGAUCAGGGCAACGAAUCAUGCGGGCUGAUACUAGCGGCUCGUAGUAAAAACCUGUGUCUAGGCUUCCAAUCGACGUGCAAUUUGGUGCAAUGCCACCGGUCUAUGAGUGAUCCGGUUACCGGCAGUGAAAUCCAAUCUAAGAAUCUGCUGUGAACAUAAAAUAAAUUUUCUUCCGUAACUGUGAAAUAGAUAAUAGAAAAAUAAGAAUAAAUAAAUAUUAUUGCAUG